AUUGAACGCUGGCGGCAGGCCUAACACAUGCAAGUCGAGCGGAUGAAUGGAGCUUUCUCCUGUAUUCAGCGGCGGACGGGUGAGUAAUUCCUAGGAAUCUGCCUUGUAGUGGGGGAUAACGUCCGGAAACGGGCGCUAAUACCGCAUACGUCCUGAGGGAGAAAGUGGUGGUUCUUCGGACCUCACGCUAUCAGAUGAGCCUAGGUCGGAUUAGCUAGUUGGUGGGGUAAAGGCCUACCAAGGCGACGAUCCGUAACUGGUCUGAGAGGAUGAUCGGUCACACUGGAACUGAGACACGGUCCAGACUCCUACGGGAGGCAGCAGUAGGGAAUAUUGGACAAUGGGCGAAAGCCUGAUCCAGCCACGCCGCGUGUGUGAAGAAGGUCUUCGGAUUGUAAAGCACUUUAAGUUGGGAGGAAGGGCAGUAAGUUAAUACCUUGAUGUUUUGACGUUACCAACAGAAUAAGCACCGGCUAACUUCGUG
rnacentral:rRNA from 1 species